CCUACGGGAGGCAGCAGUAGGGAAUAUUGCUCAAUGGGCGAAACCCUGAACCAGCAACGCCGCGUGGAGGAUGAAUGUUUUCGGAUUUUAAACUCCUUUUGUUAGAGAAGAUAAUGACGGUCUCUAACGAAUAAGCACCGGCUAACUCCGUGCCAGCAGCCGCGGUAAUACGGAGGGUCCAAGCGUUACUCGGGAUCACUGGGCGUAAAGAGCGUGUAGGCGGGAUAGCAAGUCAGAUGUGAAAUCCUAUGGCUUAACCAUAGAACUGCAUUUGAAACUGUUAUUCUAGAGUAUGGGAGAGGUAGGUGGAAUGCUUGGUGUAGGGGUAAAAUGCGUAGAGAUCAAGAGGAAUACUCAUUGCGAAGGCGACCUGCUAGAACAUAACUGACGCUGAGGCGCGAAAGCGUGGGGAGCAAACAGGAUUAGAUACCCCAGUAGUC
rnacentral:rRNA from 1 species